rnacentral:lncRNA from 1 species
GUGUUUCCAAGCGCGUGAAUGAGAGCGCGUUCUUUGGUAUUUUUCUCCGGGAAAGACAAUAACAAUUCUCCGUCUUAAAUUGUAUCGUUUAUUUACGUAUUAGGGUACCUAAGGUUUGAUUAUAAACGUUGUUUUACUUGUUUGGAAAAGUUUAUUAGUAAUGUUUGGGAUUCAUUUUGUAUGCAUUUUGAUGGAGGGAAACUGGGUGGAUUAUUGACUGAAGCACACCAACUAAACUGAGUUUUUAUGAAUAUAAAGUAGGACAUUAUCGAACAAAAGGACAAUUUGUGAUGUAACUGGGACCUUUUGGAGUGCCAACAGAAGAAGAUCAAAGUUGAGGAGGUUGGAUGGUAUUCCAGUGGCACAGAUGGGAAGAGAGGUAUUCUGAUCCUGACCCACUUCUACCAGAACACCAAGGGGGUGUUCCUUUACUUCUCGAAGAAGCUCCGCCCGGCGGAGCGGAACUAUGAUGUGGGGGACCGGGAGCUGUUGGCUAUGGU